ACAGAUACAGAUACAUAGGAAGCAAUAAUGCAAGCUUCACGACAUCCUAGGCGAAAUGAAAAGUAUUAAGAUGAAAAAGGGCCUCCUUUCUCUUUACGCAUAUUGCUGUAGAACUUCUCUGAAGAAUAGGUGGCAUGAAAGUUGUCGGCAAAGCAGCUAUGGCGGAUUCACGGCGCACAAUUUCACGGCGCAAAAAAAUCCCUUUUAUAGUUUGGCGAUACAGUCUAGAAUGUUGUGUAUAGAUUUAAGUGAAUGGUUGGUUUCUGCAGGCUGGCGUCCCGCUCUCCCGGGUAGGAAAGUUCCUAUGCAUGCUAAGACGAUCUUACGCAGUAGGAUGGAGCUAGCUGAGCUGGUGGAGCAUCUUAAUCCCCUGUACGAAUAUUAUGUCCGAUAGUAAUGUUCCAAGGUCAAGGCGCUGACUUUUACCUAACCAAGGGACCGAAGGCGAAGGCGAAUGUAUGAGUUUCCUUAAUGGCAUUAGUGUCAUGAUGCCAGUGUUAAUGUCACCUUGUCAUUUUUAACAGGAAUUCGCUAAAGUGGGAUGGACUGCGACAGUCACGGCGUUGGGCUUUCGGCACAAGGCAUUGAGCAUCUCGGAACGUCAUCCGUACUGUCGAAAUAUCAUUAAUAAUACAAGAAAAUAAUUGGUUAUUGAAAAGGGCAGUAAGCAAGGAAACCAGGUGGAGUUGUUGCCUGAGGCACCACGGGAGUCCUUAAUGACAAUUAAGCAGCGAUAUUAAUGAACACAUAAGCGCAGCUUCUUAUGGCUCCUCUGGCGCUGGUCUCGCCGUUUAAAAAGAAACACGCCGCGUAGGACUUCCUAAAUGGAGCCUCGCGUUGGGCCGUGGAGGGCGGUGCGCUUAGGGCACCUGAGCCGCUGGGCACCUGAGAGAGCCGCUGCGGCGGCCUGCUAACAGCGGCACGAAUGCACGCCCGGCAAUCACGGAAGGCGGAGCACUACGGUUGGCCAGUGCAGGACGAUUGGCGAGUGACAGGUGGUGAAGUUGACUCUGUCAACUGGACAGCGAGGGAUUGCUAGCUUCACCAUGCGGGUUGCAGCUUUUGUGCAACGGUGGCCAGGCAGGUGGGCAGAAGACCUUGCUCAAUUGCUUGCAGAUUUCCCAGUGGCAGUGGAUGGGCGUCUAUCUUUACUGCACUUGCGAACCAUGGAGGGAAGGUUCAUGUAAUUUAUAGAUAACGCUGGCAGAUGUGCAUAAUGGUGGGAAUGGUUGUGGCCCAGCAGGUCCCAGCCAUUCGUUGGCUGUGCAGCAAAUCGCUUGUGAACGCAAUUCCUAAGGUUGCCCGAUGUCGGACUUCCUGCCUUCUCCGAUUUGGGCUAAGCGCGGACAUAUACACCCUGGGACACAGCCUACUAGGCUAAGUAAGCUUGAGCGGAGUCGAGCGGGAUGCUGCACGAUCGACCGUAGGCUUGUGUCCUGAAGUGCCUGGGAGUUUUUUUUGAUGCCGAAUGUUUAGCGUGUAAUACAUGGCACCGUGCGGUCCCAAGAGGGGAGUAGGCUGCUGGCUUUCCAGGGUCGAUAAGCUCAAGAGCACGUACAGGACGAGCGAGGUUUAUCCUUUUCAUGUUUUUAUACUUUCUUACCAAGUUGAUUACCUCUUGUAUCCAAAAACGCUAGAUGCGCUCGUUCUCUUCGGUCGGACUCACUUCCAACAGCCAAGCCGUUUGCAUCGUAAGCCUGCCUUAACGCUGGCUUGCAGCACAAUCUCUAGACUCUACGGACGUCACAUUCCAGGUAGCAAAUUUGUAUAUAUGAAAUGCUUAAAAGAGUGCGGCACAAUAUCUUACUGAGAGUAUUCUCAUGGUUACAUAGGUCUGGGUGGGAUGUGAACAGCACAAG
rnacentral:lncRNA from 1 species